CUUAAGUGGGGAAUAACGCAUCGAAAGGUGUGCUAAUACCGCAUAAUCUCUGAGGAGAAAAGCAGGGGAUCGCAAGACCUUGCGCUUUUGGAGCGGCCGAUGUCUGAUUAGCUUGUUGGUAAGGUAAAAGCUUACCAAGGCUUCGAUCAGUAGCUGGUCUGAGAGGACGACCAGCCACACUGGGACUGAGACACGGCCCAGACUCCUACGGGAGGCAGCAGUGGGGAAUUUUGGACAAUGGGGACAACCCUGAUCCAGCCAUGCCGCGUGAGUGAAGAAGGCCUUCGGGUUGUAAAGCUCUUUCAGCCGGAACGAAACGGUUACGGUUAAUACCCGUGACUACUGACGGUACCGGAAGAAGAAGCACCGGCUAACUACGUGCCAGCAGCCGCGGUAAUACGUAGGGUGCGAGCGUUAAUCGGAAUUACUGGGCGUAAAGCGUGCGCAGGUGGUUUUGUAAGUCAGAUGUGAAAUCCCCGGGCUCAACCUGGGAACUGCGUUUGAAACUACAAGGCUAGAGUGUGGCAGAGGGGGGUGGAAUUCCGCGUGUAGCAGUGAAAUGCGUAGAGAUGUGGAGGAACACCGAUGGCGAAGGCAGCCCCCUGGGUCAACACUGACGCUCAGGCACGAAAGCAUGGGGAGCAAACAGGAUUAGAUACCCUGGUAGUCCAUGCCCUAAACGAUGUCAACUAGUUGUCGGGCCUUAACGGGCUUGGUAACGUAGCUAACGCGUGAAGUUGACCGCCUGGGGAGUACGAUCGCAAGAUUAAAACUCAAAGGAAUUGACGGGGACCCGCACAAGCGGUGGAUUAUGUGGAUUAAUUCGAUGCAACGCGAAAAACCUUACCUACCCUUGACAUGUAUCGAAGCCCGCAGAAAAGCGGGGGUGCCCGAAAGGGAACGAUAACACAGGUGCUGCAUGGCUGUCGUCAGCUCGUGUCGUGAGAUGUUGGGUUAAGUCCCGCAACGAGCGCAACCCUUGUCAUUAAUUGCCAUCAUUUAGUUGGGCACUUUAAUGAGACUGCCGGUGACAAACCGGAGGAAGGUGGGGAUGACGUCAAGUCCUCAUGGCCCUUAUGGGUAGGGCUUCACACGUAA
rnacentral:rRNA from 1 species